CUCUCUCUCUCUCUCUCUCUCACAUACACAUGCGCACGCACACGCGUGCACACGUGCACACACGCUCCAUGCUCAGCUCCACAUGUUGCUAUAGCUUUGCACUGGCGUACUGUUGGUCUGCUCUCCUCUCUCCCCUUUAAAUGGAAAGCCCUCCAGGGGAGUUUUGUGUACUAUAAACAAGAUCUCUGUAGGAUCAGAUAAUAGGGUCUGCGUGAAUGCAAUGCAAAGUGGGAAGGGAGCAUCGAGCCAGCAUGCUAAUGCUGAUGGGAAAUUAUUCAACAGAGACUCGUAUUGACAGAGGCUCAUAAUAAUAAAACGCCACUCUCAACUGCCAUUUUCUCCAAAGAUUUAAGCCAAAACUGACAUAAUUCUCAAGAAGUCAUGUCUAGACACAGACCUUAAUGUGUCUCUCCCACAAAAUCUGAACUUGUUUGAAUGCAGCAUUGAGGUGAAGAAUGGGGAUAUGAUUAAGGCUGAUUUUAUUUGGGUAAUCAAGGAAGGCCUCACUUGAAAAGGAGUCUCCUUAAAAAUGAAAAAUUGAGUGGCGGAGAGAGCUCAGAAGGACCUAAGUUCAAACCCCAGAGCCCAUAUAAAUAAAACAAAUGUGGCGGCACAUUUUUAUAAUCCCAGCAUUGAGGUAGCAGGGACAGGAAGAACCCUGGGGCUUACUGACCACCCAGCCAAGCCUACCAGGCAGCCCCAGACCACUGAGAGACUUUGUCUUAUAAAACAAAGUGGCAGCUCCUGAGAAACAGCCAAGGUUGGCCUCUAAACUCCAUAUCCACUUCUCCACACAUGGACAUGGAUGCACCCAUAUAAAAAAAGAAGACUGGACACUGCCUAGAUAUCAACUUAACAGCCACAGGAAGAUGCUGUUCUCAGUGUCUACGGGAUGAUAGAACGAGGCUGCUGCAUCAUGAAAUCCCAUAUAUGUCACAAUGUUGAUUCUACGUGUUCUUUCCCUUAUUAAUCAGAGGUAGAUGUGCGUGUGUGUGUGUGUGUGUGUGUGUGUGUGUGUGUGUGUGUAUCUGAGGCUGAUAAAACCCAAGCUCCACUGUCAGUGGGCUGGCUGAACCAGAAGGCCCAUAGUUCCAGUUUGAGUCUGAAGACAGGAAGAUAAAGAAUGAUAUCUCAGCUCCACAGUGGAUGGCUGAAGUUGUUCCUACAUAUUCACAACAGGGUCAACCUUUUAUAUUGUUAAUUGGUUGGCCGAUGUCAACCCAUAUCAGGAAGGACUUCAGUACAGCUAUUGAUACCUUCAUAGACACAGGCAACGCUUUCACAAGUGCCUGAGAACAGACAAACUGAUAUAUGGAAUUAGCUAUUGCACUUUCUGUUACACAGCCUUGCAAAGACUCUUCCAUCAAUCUAUAUGAUGAGUGCCUAUGAUGUGCUAAAUUUUAGACUAGGUAUUAGAAACACCAAAAGCAGACAAACAAACAAGUGAACUCUACUCUGUCAAGAAACCAUGAGACCAGAGCCCUGCACAACUGCCUCUCUAUAAAACUAGUUAAAAAUGGUUUUAAAAGCAAAAACAAAACAAAACUACUUUUAUGUCUUUUUUUUUUCAAAAAGUGGUUCUAAAUGCAUUUUGAAAGUAAAGGAUUCCAGAAGAGCUACAAAACUGGGUUAGGACAAUGAGAACCUGUGGUACUUGAACUAACAGCCAUUCUUUCUUCUCCCUUCCAAAUGCAGUGAGAUGAAAACUAUACUCCAGGCAAGUAGAGUCAAGACACCAUGCCCUCUUUCAUAGUGCUCCCACUCACCAGUUAUGGCAGUGGGUACCACUGCAUAACUACUCUUCUACAACAAGAUGCCUUGUGUCAUGGAUGGCAAUGUUCGAGAAACCCUACUGGGGCAACCAAGGGAUGAAGAAAUGGCACACUGAAGAAGCCACACACCCAGAAGCUGGGACCAGGUGGGCCAUGCUUACCCUCAGAGAGGGCACCUACUCUGCAGCCUGGAAACUCUGUGUGUUCCAUAGGUACAGCAUAUGAAGGAGGGGUUAGCCCGUCUCUGUGGGAGGUCUCUGUCGGAGAGCAGUCACAUCCAGGAGGUGGAAGCUGCAGGUGAUAGUUUCUGAACUCACUGAGUUCAGUGGAAGGAUGACCAUUCAUAUAAACACCAAUAUUGGAAGCAGAGAAAGGGUUUGCUGUUUCUCUGAUCCUCACCACCCUGGGAAGGCAUUGUCGUUUCUAUAGAAUCUGGGGCAUUAGGGUCCUUAACAUGGCUGUACCUUUGUCAACAAUACACAUUCACUCAGGACUUCAUCCACUCCCAUGAAAUACCUGAUGAAUGGCACUUAAAGAAGACAGAGUUUAUUAAGGCCCACCAUUUGAGGUUCAGUGAUGGUGACAGAAGCCUGCAGCGGCUGCUCAUAUUGCAUCCACAGUCAUGCAGCAGAGAGAGCCUUUCUUUAUACUCAGUUCCAAGAGCCCAAGCCAAACACCUUCUAAAGGAAUUGAUGUCAUUAAGGAGCAACUGUGAAGCUCAAACCUAAGGACAGUAGCAAGAGGCUGGUGAUAGAAGACAUCAAGGAAGAGGUCAUCAGGUUCAUCUGCGGUAAAGAUGCGAUCACAUGCUGGCUAACCUGCAGGAGAGAACCAGAGAGAGAUAGUAAUGGGUUGUGAGGAGCCUUCAUUAAGGAGGGAAGUUUCUCCCUCAAUGGAAAUGACUAGAAACUGUGAAAAGACACAGUUUGAAUCGAAGGCCCCCUGCCAAUAGGAUGACCCAGUUAAGAACCAAAACAAAGAACAGAUAAACCAGGGGAAUACAUGGCCCCCCACCACCCCUCCUUCCAGUGUCUGCAGCUCCUAACUUCCUAAUGGGAUGCACUGUCUGCCCUUGGUUUCUUCUGGUGUCUACCUAUACCAAAACCCGAAGAUACUCAAGUCUAUUCUACAAAACAGAAUAGUAAGUGAUUUGCAUAUAACCUACAUAUGUCCUUCUGUACACUCUAAUCUCUAGAUGGCUGCCAAUAUCUAAUUAAUGUUAAAGGCUGUGUGAACAACUGUUAUCCCGAAUUGGUUGGAGAAUAAUGAUGAGAAUAUACCUGCUCAAUACAGAUGUAAUUUUUCCAAAUAUCUUUGAUCUGAGGUUGAUUGAAUCUACAGAUGUGGAACUCCUGGAUAUGGUGGCACGCCAAAUGCCAGGAUUAUGGGUCUCCACAUCUUCCUUUCCCAGUGCAAAAGCCAUGGCCACAAAUCCUGUCAUCUCUCCCUUCUCUGAAUCUACAAACCUGACUCUUUUGGAUGACCUUUACCUAUGUCAAUUCUUUGUCUUUUCUGCUUGGAAUUUUCCAGCCAUAGCCAACACCUGGGUGUUUUGCUGUCAGAUCCAUAUUCUAAUAUUUACCUUGAUGGUGAGGAGCAAUUUCUAGCCCUGCUCCCUUCCCCAUUUGGAAACCUAAUGCUAUGUCCUUCUACCCUCCUCUCAGCUCUAUCAGUUUGUAAGAUUCAUUGACACACUCCGUUCCUAAUAGGAUCAAUCUACUCAUUGUUUCUAAAGACAACCCAGUGAAAAAGAGUAAAACAACCAUCUCAAUAGGAUAAAGUUUAAAUACAAUCUCCAAGUAAGGAGAGAUCUUACAAAAUAACUUUGUUCAGAAUUCUAAAUGCUCUUCUAUUAUAUCUGUGUCUUCUUAUAAUUUAGUGAUUAUAAGUUCAAAGUAACUGGAGUUCUAACAAGUGGGUCCUCUACUUGGAAACACUGUCUUGAACAUUCUACUAAACUUUGGGAUAAAUGAGAUAGAGGGUCAGGCUCAAAUCAAAGGUCAUAUGAAGUCCAGAUAAGCAAUGACCAACAGCUGAGUGAUGGCAGAAUGGAGACUGGCAAUCAGAUUUUCGAGUUUUCUGAAUUAUGACAGAUAGAGAUAGAUAUAUGGAUGAUAGAUGGAUAGAUAGAUAGAUAGAUAGAUAGAUAGAUAGAUAGAUAGAUGAUAUAUAUGUAGAUAAACAUGAUGGACAAUAGAUACAGAUGGUGAACAGAUAAAAAGAUGAUAGAUAAAUAGAAAUAGAUAAUAGAGAUAGAUGGCAGAUAUAGAUAGCUAUAGGUACAGUUGUAAAUAACAUAAAUGAUAGAGUUGUUAAUUAAAUGAUAUAAAGAUGAUAGGUUAUAGAGAGAAGAUGGAUGAUAGAUUGAUGGAUGGAUACAGAUAGAGGCAUAGAUGAUAGACAAUAGCUAGAUAUAGAUAUGUGUUUUAAAUUACAUGUAGUCUAUAAAAUGGUUUUGUCGUUUUUUUGUUUUUAGAUUACUUUUCUCUCCUUCAUCAUUCACAUUUCAAUGGAGGAGAGACUGUUAAAAAAAAUGGUUGCAAAAGCCCUCUGUAUCUGCAGUUCCACAUUAGUGGAGUCAACCAACUAUGAUUGGAAAGUAUUUAGGGAAAAGAUGGUGUCUGAGCUAAAAAAUCUACAAACUUUUCUUUAUAAUGUUUUCCCAAACAAUGCACUAUGAUGACUAUUUACAUAGUAUUAUAUGACAUUUACAUUAUAUUAGACAGUCUAACUAUUCCACAUUCCAUCUACACAAAUGCUAUGCCAUUUUACAUAACAGACUCAAGCAUCCUUCCAUUUCCCAGCCAUGGGCACCCUGAAGGCCAUGAAAUAUGUAUACUGAGGGUGACUGAGCUUUUUAACUGAAGGGUCACUGAGAUAAAAACAUAGCUAAGUUUCUUUUUACGUGACUACACCAGUUCCAAAUUUCUGUAAACUCCUCAGGCUACGAGCUAAAUGUCCUGAUUUCCACUUCAAGGCAAGAAAACGCUUCUGAUUUUGUCAACGGCAAAGAAAACAUGGUUCACUACUUUGCAGGCAGUUCGUGUGUUCAGCUCACAGUAUCUAUUAUGAAUGCAUCAUGAGUCAAGCUAUACUUGGCAUAUCUGUGAAAGUGUGUGAAGCUCUCAUGCAGAACAGAAAAACAAUAACACCCAUAUCCGUGGAUGGUGAUAUUCUGGGAUAACCAUAUGUGACUAGUGUAUCUUCAAAAUAUUUUAUUCUGUUGAUAUGUGUAAGGCUUGACAAUGCUGUUUUCCCGGCCUCUGAUGUUCUAGGAGGCUACAGAACUGUCUGCUUAGAUUGUCCUUCUUUUCGUAUUCAAAUGCAAACCUUACAACAGAGACACUCUUCCAGUAGAACAUGCUAAUUGAGCCUUCAAGUAUAACAAUACCUGAUCUUUAAAAAAGAGAUUAUUUUUGCUUUACAUGUAUGUAUUUCUUGUACCAUGUGUCGUAUGUAUGUGUGUCAUCUGGUGCCCAUCAGCUGCCCUGGAACUGGAGUUGCAGAUGUCGUGAGCCUCAUGUAGGGGCUGGGAACCAAACCCAGUCCUGGGCAAGAGCAAUGAGUACUCUUAACUGGCAAGUCAUCUUGCCAUCUCCUGUGUCUGUUUCUUAGGGUCACAAAAUAGCUUUGGCCUUUAACAGAAAGUGUUCCUAAUGAGUUAUACAGCAAACAAAUCCCAGCUGGCACACAGCUAGUGAAUGUUUCCAAUAGUACAAACAUUUUAUGGUAUAAGUGUUUUAAUGGAACCAAACAGGGUUCUUUGGCAUCUAGACUAGUAUACCAGCGUGAAGGUGGCAUCCCAGAGAUAUGACGUUCAGCAUUUGUUUUAUGUAGUGAUUGGUACCCCAUAUCUACUUAAAGAAAGGACUUAUGUCGAGACUUGGAGUGUAAGAAGAAAAACAAUUGAAGUAAGUGAAAAAGCUGAAGGCAAAGGAAAAUGAGUACAUAUCUCAAGAUUCUGUGGAAUUGAAGACGUAAGCAAAGUCAUAAGCCAGUCCUAGGAUGUUUCCUCUAUGAAAUAUGCAUGUGUAUAUCAUAUUUUAUAGAACCAAACACACACAAAUCUGGACUUUGAAAGCAGAGAACUUAUGAGGCUGACAUUUACAUUUCAAAUGUAUUUUUCAGUUUACAAAACAAUUCAUCAUUAUAUUCCUUUAAGUGGUGGGACUCUUGAAUUUAGAGUACACGCAUGCUGUCAUAGAUAAGCUCCAGAUUCCUAUUUGCUAUAUAGGGCACUUUCAGCUAUAAGAGAAGCAUAAAUAAAUAUAUUCUGUUGUGUGAUAUGUAGGUGUGUGAUUUCCAUGUCAGGAUAUGACAUCAACGACUCUACUCCAGAGAGUCUGUCAGAGACAUAGAGGGUCCCAGGAGCUAGUUCAGUUUUAGAAAAGUGUUUGUUUCCCAAGCACAAGGGCCUGAGUUCAAUUCCCCAGAACCCAUGUAGGAAGGAUGGGCAUGCUGUUGCAUGCUUACAAUUGAAGCACUGGAGAAGUAGCAGCAAGUAAAGAUCCCUGGGGCAUACCAGCCAGCCAGCCUAGUCUACUUAGUGGUUGUUGCCUGAAGAAUGAUGCACAAGGCUAUCUUCCGGCCCCUACAUGCAUGUAUGCAUGUGUGGACAAGCACAUACACAACAUGAGAAAAGAUUUAGAUCCAAUUGGAGAAGAGAGUCAGAAUAUUCUCCAAUCAGGCCAGAAUUCAACGAGUUUCAAAGCUACAGGUCGGUUUGAUGGAUUGCAUGUCCUGAAUCUUGCUCGCAGAAAGAAACGAACACCUUCCUUACUGAAUAAAUCCCUUAUUGAUUGAACAAAUUUCUUAUUGAUUCCAAAUGAACAAAUUCCUUAUUGAUUCUGAAUUCAUAGGAAUUUAAUCAACAGAGUGACCUCAGGGCCCAUACUGAAGCUUUGGGUUGGUGCCCCAAGCAGUAUAGAAGUGGGCAGUCAAACUGAGAGGACAGAGAUACAGGGCAAAAGGAAGAGACAAAUUACUGGGUGACAUGGCGGGGACACAGUUGGUCCUGAAAUAAAAUGCAUGGGAGUCAGACAAGCACCAAAAUCUAUAGCCAUACAAGGCCUGGAAUGGGCUCCAGACAAAGAGAAGGACUGUUUGACCUUUCUAUAUUUAUCUCCCAAGCAGAGAUAUUCCUUUGAAAGUUUAUUCCCCUUGCAAGACUGCCCUUGACAUCCCUUUAAUCACCAGUAUUAGAGGCACCAAAGAUAAAUAACUCACCCCCUCGAUUUGAGCUGCGAGAUCCCAGGGCAUUUCAGACACAGAAACUUUCCUUGGCAAUCUUUCUUACUCUGUCAUCUUGCUAUUUUUCUCAAUAAUUUCACAGCUAAUCCUGUGUGUGUGU